UUAAUGGGGGAAGACGGACCCAGAACAGCCACCAGGCCCGAGGAAACAUGCAGAGCCGGGUUAUGAAACAGACAGGCAAAUGUGGAAUCCCAGGUGUUUAUUGUAUUCACUGAACCAGAGCAGUUACUUUUUAAGAAGGCUGUCUUCCUCUCUCCAACAUCAGUCCCCUCUCCCAUCACAAUGGCUACUGACUCCCACAACAAAUCCUUGAAGUACUCUCCAAGUGCCCAGUGGAGUCCAGGAUGAGGGGGCCCUGCUGAGGUCAUGUGGUUAGAAGCACAGGAAAGCUUCCGGAAAGGCCCAGGUUCCCCAUCACAGAGGUCAUCGGUUUCACUACCGAGUGAUCCAGGGCUUCAGGCUGAGAUCAUCAAGCUGAAGGACUAAAAGUGUUUAGGUGACACAGAUGUCAACUUGUCUGAAACGAGCAGGAAUUGUCCUAAAAAGUUCAGCCUAACUUCUUUUGGUGGCUGUCACAUAGACCAGC